GAUGAACGCUGGCGGCGUGCCUAAUACAUGCAAGUCGAGCGAACGGACGAGAAGCUUGCUUUUCUGAUGUUAGCGGCGGACGGGUGAGUAACACGUGGAUAACCUACCUAUAAGACUGGGAUAACUUCGGGAAACCGGAGCUAAUACCGGAUAAUAUUUUGAACCGCAUGGUUCAAAAGUGAAAGACGGUCUUGCUGUCACUUAUAGAUGGAUCCGCGCUGCAUUAGCUAGUUGGUAAGGUAACGGCUUACCAAGGCAACGAUGCAUAGCCGACCUGAGAGGGGGAUCGGCCACACUGGAACUGAGACACGGUCCAGACUCCUACGGGAGGAAGAAGUAGGGAAUCUUCCGCAAUGGGCGAAAGCCUGACGAAGCAACGCCGCGUGAGUGAUGAAGGUCUUCGGAUCGUAAAACUCUGUUAUUAGGGAAGAACAUAUGUGUAAGUAACUGUGCACAUCUUGACGGUACCUAAUCAGAAAGCCACGGCUAACUACGUG
rnacentral:rRNA from 1 species